rnacentral:rRNA from 1 species
UACAGAGGGUGCAAGCGUUAAUCGGAAUUACUGGGCGUAAAGCGCACGUAGGCGGUUGGGUAAGUUGGAUGUGAAAUCCCCGGGCUUAACCUGGGAAUUGCAUUCGAUACUGCCCGGCUAGAGUGUGGAAGAGGGAAGCGGAAUUUCCGGUGUAGCGGUGAAAUGCGUAGAUAUCGGAAGGAACAUCAGUGGCGAAGGCGGCUUCCUGGUCCAACACUGACGCUGAGGUGCGAAAGCGUGGGUAGCGAACAGG